rnacentral:rRNA from 1 species
UACGUAGGGGACAAGCGUUGUCCGGAAUUACUGGGCGUAAAGAGUGUGUAGGCGGUGUUCUAAGUCUGUUGUGAAAUCUCCCGGCUUAACCGGGAGGGUGCGGCGGAAACUGGAAUGCUAGAGGAUGGGAGAGGUAAGCGGAAUUCCUGGUGUAGCGGUGAAAUGCGUAGAUAUCAGGAGGAACACCUGUGGUGUAGACAGCUUACUGGACCAUUUCUGACGCUGAGACACGAAAGCGUGGGGAUCAAACAGG